rnacentral:rRNA from 1 species
UACGGAGGGUGCAAGCGUUGUCCGGAUUUAUUGGGUUUAAAGGGUGCGUAGGCGGCUUUUUAAGUCAGUGGUGAAAUACAGCAGCUCAACUGUUGAGGUGCCAUUGAUACUGAAGAGCUUGAGUACAGAUGAGGUAGGCGGAAUUUAUGGUGUAGCGGUGAAAUGCAUAGAUACCAUAAAGAACACCGAUUGCGAAGGCAGCUUACUAAGCUGUAACUGACGCUGAGGCACGAAAGCGUGGGGAGCGAACAGG